UAAAAGCCAUGGAGUUGAGCUAGUCAAGGUGGCCAGCUCUGAGAGUUGUGGAGUUAGGAGUUCCUGGCAGCAGCAUGGUGCAGCCCCUAAAUCUACAGUGGGACUUGAAGGAAGCACCUCUGCAGGCCUGGGAACAAGGGAGAGUUACCUGGAUUAGAGAAAGUGAAAGAAUCAUUAUGUAGGCAUAGCAGGUAAAAGAAGGCUGGACUGCUCUGAGAACAGGACGCAAGAAAUUCUCUUGACCUCCAGGAGCCUCACAGCUACCCCUGGAGUCCUGUUAUAGGGGGACAGGGAAGAAGAGUCAAUAAAAGACAUCACUCACAAAAAUCCUUGACCAUCAUGACCCAGGACACCUUAAACACACAGGAAAAGAUGAUGACAACUGGGGAAGUAUGCUCAGGAAGCACUGUAUAGUGCAGAAGAAUAGGAACAGAUCAUUAUUGCUGGAAUUAGCUGCUGCUAUGAAAUGGUGAUUGCUGACUCACUUCUCCUUCAUUCAAAAGAUAUACUAGAAGACCUUGUAUAGCCCUGAAGCACUAUUUUAGGACUGCUACUGACUGUCUCCUUGUUACCAGUUGUUGGUGGUCUA